CGGAGGGUGCAAGCGUUAUCCGGAUUUAUUGGGUUUAAAGGGUCCGUAGGCGGACUUAUAAGUCAGUGGUGAAAGCCUGUCGCUUAACGAUAGAACUGCCAUUGAUACUGUAAGUCUUGAGUAUAUUUGAGGUAGCUGGAAUAAGUAGUGUAGCGGUGAAAUGCAUAGAUAUUACUUAGAACACCAAUUGCGAAGGCAGGUUACCAAGAUAUAACUGACGCUGAGGGACGAAAGCGUGGGGAGCGAACAGGAUU
rnacentral:rRNA from 1 species